GCUCAGGGACGGAGCCCUCCGCCCCAUCCUUCUUCUUCCUCCUCCGGCGCACUACACGGCAGCCCCUCCGGCAAGGCACGGCCCCGUCGCCUUCCUCCCGUUCCUCCGAUACCCCUCUACCUCGACCCUCUUCCAUCAAGAAAAUCGGCGGUCGCAUGCUCCAAUGCCGACGCGGCACGUGUGGAGGUCGUGUCGGCCGUCAUCGACUGGCGCGACAUGGAGGAGGAGCGUGGGUACAGCGCGGCGCUAAUGACGGCGGCGGCCGUUGGCAGGCACCGCGACACUCUCUACUCGCUGGUCGUCUUCCAGUUCAACGGCAGCGGUGGCUCCAAGAGCGACCGCAACCUCCGGGCGUCCUCGCUCGGCCACGUCGACGCGCUCUGCGAGCUGGGCACUGCCUGCAGGGCGGCUACGGCGUGCGCCGCUCGCUGCUCGACGGGAGCUCGCGGCCGCGUCGGCCUUGCUCUUCAAGGCCUCCCGCGGGCGCCACUCAUGCUUGCUUAGCGACUUCCAGUCCGCGCCGCCGCCGCGGCCACCGCCGGGGAGGCGCACGCCCCCAACCGGUUCCUGUCCGAGUGGUUCGCUUCGCGGCAGCUGGGCGCGGAGAGCGGCCUCGGCCCCGCGCCGAUGGAGGAGGAGGAUGGCGGCUCCGGCGGGGGCCUAAGCCUCGCGCCGCUGCAGCACGGGAGGCCGCCGGUGGCGUUGGAUUUGGACAGCAGAUGGCGGGUACCCGCGGUCGCCGAUCUGGGGCGAGGUGUCGGCGCCUGCUCCGGCUCCUCCAGGCGGCGGUGCCGCGGAGACGGCAGUGGCCGCAAGUUGCGUGUCGAACUUGUGGCUGCAAGCGGCACAACUGCUGGUGGAUGGCGAGCCAAACUGCCUGAGCUGUCCGCUCCCACAUGGCCUUCAAAUUGGGCAAAAUUCGCCAGGUUGCGGGAGCAGGUGGCGCCAAUGCUAGCGCGCAGGCAGUAUCGAGCCAAGCAGCCAACGCAAGGUUCAGCUAAGCUGCCCUCAAGGCCAGACAAUCACAGCUUCACCGUCCUUGUGGUGCAUCCUAGAUAUGUCUCAUAUAGAUACAUGUGCGUCUGGAAUUGUGACCCCAGCAGGAGAUAGCCAGUGAUUACUGCCAAACUGAUCUACAUGUUAUCCCAACCAUUUUAUUGCAGAAUUUUACUAUUUCAAUGCUGGUAUGCAGUAUGAUCUGUGAGUAGACCUUAGUAGGUAGCCCUCUUAAUAUUUGUGAUAGCAUAGCCUUUUUAAUAUAGAUUUUUGUAAUAGUGUAUUUCAGAGAGCCUUUCUGUAGAAGGAUAGAACUGAUAUCUAAGCAAAUCAUAUGUUUUUAGAGUCCAGUGAAGAGUGCUUCUGUUCCACACUUGUUGGUUCCUGUAGAUUUCCCUGCCGGACAAUGGCCGUGAUUUCACCACAAAGCUGAGCUUCUAGGCGUGAUAAGUUACUGCCCUAGGAUGGCUACAGGUCUGGUUUGAAUCCUCAACUCACAACUGCAAUAAUUUGUAGCUUUUCAGUUUAUCCAUCGCCAAAAUCAAAUUUCGAGUAUAGAUUUGGAUGAAACUUUCAGACCAUUCAGGUUGACACCGGUAUUGGAGAAACAAUUGUGCUACAGUUCUUAUUUUCAAGAUAGAAUAUGAAACCUUAGAUAUGAUGCAAUUAUCAACCCAUAAUAUUUUAAACUGAAGUGAGGUGUGCAUUCUUUAAAAAAUUCUGUGAUACACUCUGGAUUCUGAUAUUCUUUCCUCAUUUCAGGGGCUACAAAUGGGUCAUUCAGCGAACUGCUCUUGAGACAUCUGACUUUCAUAAAGAUGAUUGCUUGAAGAUAUAAUGCACUCUAGGUAUUUUUGUGUAAACUAUUGAUUACUCUAGACCACACUCCAUUCAGGUCCCAGACUUCAACAUUGCCUACCGGGAGAUUGGAAGAAUAAUCGUGCAGACUUCCCCGCUGAAAGAUUUCUCUCCUCCAGGAUACCAAUGUGUUGCUUGCAUCUAGGAAUACAGGGUUCAAACAACUCGACAACAACCAUACGAGGUAGACAUUAUUGUCGACGACCAAGAGGCAUGCAACCCUCUAUCCAUGUCCAAACAUAGGCGAAGUUAAUAACAGCAUCUGCAUUCGCACUGCAUUUCCGAAUAGUAUUUGUACAUUGUUUCCAGAUACCCUACUUCCAUGAAAGGGUUGCAGCCUUCAUUUGAAUAGACGAGCUCAGGUCAAAGACCAAAGAAAAAGACACAUAUGAGGCAUACCACAGAGGAGUCGGUCCAGUUGAAACUUAGAUAUCGAAACCAUACAAGAUAUCUACGCUGCCUAUCAAAAGGAAGGAGACACAAAAGAAAGGAGAUCGUCUUCUCGACUAGAUAGAUGUUAGCUUCCCAAACGGUGCCAAAGCCAAGCCUUCCACAAGGAUCUCACAUGUGGUGCUGUUCCUUAACAUAGUAGGCGAAUGCAUGAAAAUCAUCAUCCUAUCCCCUGAUUGCAAGGACACCUUCCACAAGUACGGAUGGUUUUACAAGUAGAAAGAAUAAAAUAAUUGUACUGCCAUGGUGUUCUAAUGUGUUUUUAGGCUCCGGUUGUUAUCAAAUGUGUGUCCUGUUUUAUAUUUAAUUGUAUUGUUGCAUUUAUGUUUAAUGGUGUAAUGAAAAUUAUGUCUG